GUUGGAGGCCAAGCCCUAUCAGAGGGGGUUGGGUAUGGAGGCCGGCAGGGAAUGGUGCGGGAGGCGAGGGGCGCUACUCACUGGAUGUAUGGGCUGCAGCCCUGGCAUGGUCAGGCUCAGCUCUCUAUCCCCCUAGCUUGGUGGGGAGCUGUGCAGAGGAGCACAGUCUUGGUGCUGCCAGAGAGCUAGAAGGGCCUUUUUCUGUGGUUCCCCUAGCUGGACGGGGUGCAUGUGCCUGCUGCAUCAGCUUUAGAUAGGCUGCCCUAGCCCAUCCUCGUGCUUCCCAAGAUGCCUCUUACUGUACCCUCUCAUCCCUGCUGCCCCGGCUUUCUCCAUACCACCCCAUACACUGAGCCAAGGCAGGGACACCUGCUAAACACAAAGGUACUAUAGUUAAGGCAUGUGGCUCCCACAUACAUCUACCUGGAUGGGACUCUUGUCUGUGCAAGCCACAGAAGCUGCUAGUUCUGAAGGCAGCGUUGGUGACUGAGGUGUCAGACACUGAAAAAACACAUAGGGGAAGAACAUGUUGUUUGUAAAUCAAACAUCCCAAAAGGGGCAGUGUUCUCUUUGGACAGCUCUGGGUCACUGGAGACAGUCUAGUCUUACAAAUGAAGGAUUGUCACAAGGAAGACCUUGCAGUCUUAUUUCAUAAUGCUUUGUUGAUUGUAGUAUGUCCUGUUGUCAGAUUCAGAGGCGGAGGAGUUCCUAGGGUGCCAAUAAAGUAUUUCUUUACCUUUUGCCAGGCACAUUUUUGAAGUGAAGUCCCAAGUAUGUGUUGGCAAGGCUAACUCUCUGCGUCAAAUAUUGGCUUCACUGGUAUUUAGCUUGUGAAACCCCACACUCACUUGCCUCUGCGUAUGAAUGGACUUAUCAGAGACAGGGCCCAUUUUCACUUGGAUCAGUGUGCAAGACUCAGUCUGGCACUUCAUGCCUCAAUCACCUGGUGAGAUUCCAGCUUGUCCAUUGGUUAAUCACCUUUUACCAUUCAUUGCUUCAGUAGACUCUUGUUUUAUUUCCCUCUUUUCUCCCCCUCCCCCUGGUAGGAAGAAGCCCUAUUCCCAUGGACUAGUUUUAAAAGUUCAGCACCAACAAAAAUGACAGUCUAGUGGUAUUGCCAUCUGUUGCCUGGCUGAAGGCUGUUUCAGCCUCAAUUUUCGUAGCUUGGAGAUGAUUUUGUGUUGAUCAAAGCAAAAGUGUGCUGAGCUCCAGGGCAAGGAUGGGUUUUUAGGGAAACUAAGAAGCAUAAAUGACCAGAGUCUUCAUCUUGGAAUGGCAGGAAAUUGAUCUUGUGAUCUCUGGGUAAUCUUUUGGAAGGUGAAAAUACUCCAAAGGUCCUACCAAUAUGUUCUUGUUUUCCAGCCCCAAAUACAGCAAGCAGUUAAUACUAUGGGUAUGAGUAAGAAUCACAGCAAUUAAACAUCUAACCUUGUGCUAUU